rnacentral:rRNA from 1 species
CGAUACUAGCUUGCUAGUAGGCGUCGAGUGGCGGACGGGUGAGUAACGCGUAGGAAUCUGCCUGAUAGUGGGGGAUAGCCCGAAGAAAUUCGGAUUAAUACCGCAUAAUCUAUUUGUAGUAAAGUGGGGGACUUUCGAGCCUCACGCUAUCAGAUGAGCCUGCGUAAGAUUAGCUUGUUGGUAGGGUAAAAGCCUACCAAGGCGACGAUCUUUAGCUGGUCUGAGAGGAUGAUCAGCCACAUCGGGACUGAGACACGGCCCGAACUCCUACGGGAGGCAGCAGUGGGGAAUAUUGGACAAUGGGGGCAACCCUGAUCCAGCAAUACCGCGUGUGUGAAGAAGGCCUGAGGGUUGUAAAGCACUUUCAAUUGUGAAGAAAAGUUAACGGUUAAUAACCGUUAGCCUUGACGUUAACUUUAGAAGAAGCACCGGCUAACUCCGUGCCAGCAGCCGCGGUAAUACGGAGGGUGCAAGCGUUAAUCGGAAUUACUGGGCGUAAAGCGUGCGUAGGCGGUUUAUUAAGUCAGAUGUGAAAGCCCCGGGCUUAACCUGGGAACUGCAUUUGAAACUGGUCAACUAGAGUAUGGUAGAGGAAAGUGGAAUUUCUGGUGUAGCGGUGAAAUGCGUAGAUAUCAGAAGGAACAUCAAUGGCGAAGGCAGCUUUCUGGACCAAUACUGACGCUGAGGUACGAAAGCGUGGGUAGCAAACAGGAUUAGAUACCCUGGUAGUCCACGCCGUAAACGAUGAUAACUAGCCGUUGGGGGGAUUUACCCUUUAGUGGCGAAGCUAACGCG